GAUGAACGCUGGCGGCGUGCCUAAUACAUGCAAGUCGAGCGAACAGACGAGGAGCUUGCUCCUCUGACGUUAGCGGCGGACGGGUGAGUAACACGUGGAUAACCUACCUAUAAGACUGGGAUAACUUCGGGAAACCGGAGCUAAUACCGGAUAAUAUAUUGAACCGCAUGGUUCAAUAGUGAAAGACGGUUUUGCUGUCACUUAUAGAUGGAUCCGCGCCGCAUUAGCUAGUUGGUAAGGUAACGGCUUACCAAGGCGACGAUGCGUAGCCGACCUGAGAGGGUGAUCGGCCACACUGGAACUGAGACACGGUCCAGACUCCUACGGGAGGCAGCAGUAGGGAAUCUUCCGCAAUGGGCGAAAGCCUGACGGAGCAACGCCGCGUGGGUGAUGAAGGUCUUCGGAUCGUAAAACUCUGUUAUUAGGGAAGAACAAAUGUGUAAGUAACUAUGCACGUCCUGACGGUACCUAAUCAGAAAGCCACGGCUAACUACGUG
rnacentral:rRNA from 1 species